rnacentral:rRNA from 1 species
UGGGGAAUAUUGCACAAUGGGCGCAAGCCUGAUGCAGCCAUGCCGCGUGUAUGAAGAAGGCCUUCGGGUUGUAAAGUACUUUCAGCGGGGAGGAAGGGAGUAAAGUUAAUACCUUUGCUCAUUGACGUUACCCGCAGAAGAAGCACCGGCUAACUCCGUGCCAGCAGCCGCGGUAAUACGGAGGGUGCAAGCGUUAAUCGGAAUUACUGGGCGUAAAGCGCACGCAGGCGGUUUGUUAAGUCAGAUGUGAAAUCCCCGGGCUCAACCUGGGAACUGCAUCUGAUACUGGCAAGCUUGAGUCUCGUAGAGGGGGGUAGAAUUCCAGGUGUAGCGGUGAAAUGCGUAGAGAUCUGGAGGAAUACCGGUGGCGAAGGCGGCCCCCUGGACGAAGACUGACGCUCAGGUGCGAAAGCGUGAGGAGCAAACAGG